CCCGGCACCGGCUGAGCCCCGGCCGUGAGGGGAGCGCUCCCGUGCGUUCUGCUGCCAGCUGAACCCCGUGGCUGCGGCUGUUUGCCGUAUCUCUGUCACAGCACUCUGCCCGGCUCUUCAAACCCAAUCUUAGUGGGGCAGAAGUGUCAUAUGACACAGGGGUGACUGCCAAAUGUCAUCCAGUUUUGACAUAAUGCCUUGGCAGAAAACAGCGAUGCUCAAGAGGAGACACAGUAUUAAUUCUACCAGAGAAACUGGGGCUGUGAGCUACCAUGACAGCAGCACACACAACAGCCAGCCUGCUGCUCCAGAGGGAAUGACAGCUUCCGAGCCAUCCAGCAGGGACUGAGGAUUCCUCCUGCAUGCAGAGACAGUCCUGCUACUGGGAAGAUGAUGAGCUGAACCUCAAGUCAAAAUUAAAGAGCUCAGGUGCUGAAUCAGGACCUUAUUAAAAGUGAGCAGAUAUCUUCACCUGCUACUUCUGCUGCCCUGUUGUUGUGGUUUUAUCUACUG